CACUGCCUCUGAUUGCAGCCUCGAUGCGUGCUCUUUUUCUUCUGUCGGGAGUCCCUGUCCGUAAUUGCCCGCGUUCUUUCCUGUCUAUUCGAAGUUCACUUUCAGGCAUUCGCUGAGAAGCAGAUUGAUUGACAUUUUCCAACAAGGCUGAUAGGUGCGGACUGAUCCAGAAAUACCUGUAAGUUUCGCUGUUGUUUCUCUCAGAACUAUUUAUCUCAGGUCACUUCAUGGCCAGGCUUGUGUUAACUUUGCUGCUACACCAGCUGCGAGUUUUUCCGGUCAGAUACAUACCGAGCGGUAAAUGCAUUCUACGCGAAGAUAUAUUUGAACAUUCGCUGGCAACUAGUAUCGUGCAAACACGGAUUUCAGAGUCAGCAGCUCGUUAGCUGUGCACCAUUGCCUACAGAAAAAUCUUACCUAUCAAUGUUUUCCUCUUGCAUUCAGGUCUCUAAAGUGGUCUUCAGAAUCAACAUUUAAGAUGAACAUCGGUAGCGUAAGUCCCGUUUUUUGAACACGUAGUGGUGCUUCAAAUCUCACUUGUAAUGCAUUUUGCCUUGAAGAAAAAGGAAAUCCGUUCUAGAUAUGCAGACGAGUUUUCGAGUAAACUUUCUUGGAUAAGUACUCGGGCAGAACCUGUGGUAAUUCUCUUCGCUAUAUACAGCUGUUAUUUCUGAUCUCAUGAGAUGUUUCUGCAGCUCAGUCACAUCAGGAAUUUGGACUUCUCUAAUCUUAUCCGGGGUUAUCCAGUUAUCCACAAAGACUACUCUCGGAAAAGGUGUGAUUUGCCGUAACUGUCAUGCUUGCCAUAGUUCUAGGAUCCUGCUGAUAUUAUUGUUAUCGAUGAACUCGGUGGUGUGGUGCUGUCGAACUUGUAAACUACACCGCUCCAGGUUUUCUGCAUUUUGGUAUUGACAAAGCUAUGAAGUCCUGAGUUUACUAUGUUGAUUUUGACAGAAUUUUGGAAACUGAUUGAGUUCUCAGAUUUGCAAUCUAGAUUACACAGUUUUUGCUUUUCGUCGAGACAAUGGGUUGGGGCAGCUUAACUUCUCAUUUAAUUAAACAGCGUUUUCAGUCGAA